UACACGACUCUCGGCAAUGGAUAUCUCGGCUCUCGCAUCGAUGAAGAGCGCAGCGAAAUGCGAUACAUGGUGCGAAUUGCAGAAUCCCGCGAACCAUCGAGUCUUUGAACGCAAGUUGCGCCCAAAGCCAUCCGGCCAAGGGCACGUCUGCCUGGGCGUCAAUC
rnacentral:rRNA from 1 species